rnacentral:rRNA from 1 species
GGGCCCGCACAAGCGGUGGAGCAUGUGGUUUAAUUCGAUGCAACGCGAAGAACCUUACCAGGGCUUGACAUACUACAAAUUCUUUUGAGAAAGGGAAGUGCCUUCGGGAAUGUAGAUACAGGUGGUGCAUGGCUGUCGUCAGCUCGUGUCGUGAGAUGUUGGGUUAAGUCCCGCAACGAGCGCAACCCUUAUUUUUAGUUACCAAUUCGUUGGGUUUUUUAGAAAGACUGCCGGUGACAAACCGGAGGAAGGUGAGGAUGACGUCAAGUCAGCAUGCCCCUUAUGUCCUGGGCUACACACGUGCUACAAUGGUUAAGACAAAGAGUUGCAAGCUCGUGAGAGUAAGCUAAUCUAAUAAACUUAGCCUAAGUUCAGAUUGUAGGCUGCAACUCGCCUGCAUGAAGUUGGAAUCGCUAGUAAUCG